rnacentral:tRNA from 1 species
GGGCGCGUAGCUCAGCGGUAGAGCAGCUGACUUUUAAUCAGCAGGUCCUGGGUUCGAUUCCCAGCGCGCUCA